rnacentral:rRNA from 1 species
CCUACGGGUGGCUGCAGUGAGGAAUAUUGGUCAAUGGGCGCGAGCCUGAACCAGCCAAGUAGCGUGAAGGAUGACUGCCCUACGGGUUGUAAACUUCUUUUAUAAAGGAAUAAAGUGAGGCACGUGUGCCUCUUUGUAUGUACUUUAUGAAUAAUGAUCGGCUAACUCCGUGCCAGCAGCCGCGGUAAUACGGAGGCUCCGAGCGUUAUCCGGAUUUAUUGGGUUUAAAGGGAGCGUAGAUGGGUUGUUAAGUCAGUUGUGAAAGUUUGCGGCUCAACCGUAAAAUUGCAAUUGAUACUGGCAGCCUUGAGUACAGUUGAGGUAGGCGGAAUUCGUGGUGUAGCGGUGAAAUGCUUAGAUAUCGCGAAGAACACCGAUUGCGAAGGCAGCCUACUAAACUGCCACUGACAUUGAUGCUCGAAAGUGUGGGGAUCAAACAGGAUUAGAUACCCUAGUAGUC